ensembl:lncRNA
GUGUUGCUCAACAUCCUGGGAAGACGGUCUCCUGGCAUCUGGACGCUCACCCUGGAGACGGGUUGCAGCCCUCUGGGGCACGUGGGUCUGGUGAGCCCUGAGUCCAAGGAACUGUCAUCAUGAGACACAGAAGAGGAGAGAGACACACAGAGAAGGAGAUGAGAAGCAGGAGCCUGAGAAAGAAGAAGAUGGAGGCAGAGACCGGAGCUACACAGCCAUGCUGAAUCUAGAGCCUGUUACACAGAAUGAAAAUCACUCCAGGCUGACCCCACGCUAAUUACUGGGGUUCACAGUCCUAGGAAUUGCAAAGGAGGGAAACAGACAUCUGCACAGAGCCUUGGUGCCUGGAUUCACCCAAGAAUCUCCACAUCCACGGAAAAUACAUUGGAAUGUACAUCCUGCCAAGCAUCCAUUCAUCCCACGGUCACUGGAAACUUGGUGUUGCAGUGAGGAAGUGUGUCAAGGCUGGCUUCCCCGGAGACCUGCUUCCUGGUGGCAUCAAAAGAUGCAGAAGUUUUUGUCAGCUCACUCAACGAGAGUCUAUCUGUUCAUGCUGGCCUGGUUCAUUCAUACUCAACUUCCAAGACAUUGUUGCCUAAAGACCAAAACGACAAAUCAUCCAUUUUCAUUGAGAAAGAGAUCUCGAGAGGAGGUACUUAAAAGCUUCCAUUGGCAAUUUUUUUUUUUAAUACGGAAACAUAUCUGAGAAGCCAAAUCAAUAUCAGAACGCUGCCCUGUGGAUAGACAGAGCUGAGUAAAGUGAGACGUUGUUCAUGUCAUGACCGCUUGAUACACCCGAUUACACUAGAUGGAGUGUAGACCAGAAGGAAGGGGGUCCUCUCUCAGCAACACUGGAAGUCAGUCCAACAAAUGCCCAUGGUUCUGCACCUCUUUCUCAGUAUUCCUGGCCAGUCAUGAAAACUCCUGCAAUGGCAUUAUUUCCUCAUAAUGGAUAUGUUUCAGUGUUCCAAGAUUACCACUCACUUUUCACUUUGAAUUCUAAAUAAAGGCUUUCCUUUUGGGGAGGGACUCUGUAAGUACUUGGCUUAGUAUUUUUAAAAUGUUCUAGCUUGCUGUGGUGCGGUGUCACGUGUCUGUGGGUUAGCUGUGCCGUGUCCUUGUCUUGGAGUGCCCUCCCCGCCCUGCUGUACCCACACCCCCAACACCUCUGUCUGCUAAACUCUCAGUCAUCCUUUUCAUUCCAGGGACAAGUGUCAUCCCCUUCAGAAGCUCCCACACCCAGAGCAGGCUUAGAAGGUCUUUGCUCUGUGUUCCUAUGUUGGAGAAGGAAAUGGCAACCCACUCCAGUAUUCUUGCCUGGAGAAUCCCAUGGACAGAGGAGCCUGGCAGGCUACAGUCCAUGGGGUUUCAAGAGUUGGACAUGACUUAGCGACUAAACCACCACCUAUGUUGUUUGUUUAUCCUUUAUUCUAGCCUUUGUCAUAGGCUGCAAAGGCAGGCUUGUCUAGCCGUCUUCCCCACUAGAUUGCAAACUCUCAGGAAACAGGAACUUGGUCCAUCUCAUGGACCCGGACACAGUGCCUGGUACAGGGCAGGUAUUAGAUAGGUGCUGAUACUUGAUAAAAUCAGUGAGUGGCAUUAACAUUAGCCUACAGCUCUCCUAAUGAUGUCUCAAAAGCAUGCAAACCCCAUUUUAUUCUUCAGAUGACUUUUGACGCCUCUCGUUUAUAAAAGGCAAUGUUCAUAAAAACCUUAGGGUUGGCUUUCAAGGUGAUGAGAUGCGAACCUAGUCAGGUGAGCGAGCGUCACUAUCCUUGGGGGCACAUGGCUGCCAGAAAGAGGCGCUCUCUCCAUGCAUCUCUUCACUACCAAGCUGGUCAAGGAUGGAAACUGC